rnacentral:lncRNA from 1 species
UGAAAAUGGCAUGUUAGCACAAAAGAUCAAAUAUACAUCAUGUCAGAUAAUAGAGAAAAUCAAAUAAAUCAUAAAAUGCACAGAUUUUUGUGUCAUCGCGAAGUCGUUACAAACUUUCAUCUCUGAGUGUGGAUACAUAUCUCCAACUACCCAAGUGGAAUGACCAGAUCAGAUACAGAUACAAUAAUUUGCUCAAGCCCACUUCCGAUUGGCCAAACCAUGGUAUGAUCUAUAACCACAGCCGCACCAACCAUAAUGGU